UACAGAGGGUGCUAGCUUUGUUCGGAAUCAUUGGGCGUAAAGGGCGUGUAGGCGGUUUGUUAAGUCAUGUGUGAAAUCCCUCGGCUCAACCGGGGAACGACGCAUGAAACUGGCAAGCUAGAGUACCAAAGAGGGGGGUGGAAUUCCCGGUGUAGCGGUGAAAUGCGUAGAUAUCAGGAAGAACACCCGUGGCGAAAGCGGCUCUCUGGAACGGUACUGACGCUGAGACGCGAAAGCAUGGGGAGUGAACAGG
rnacentral:rRNA from 1 species